rnacentral:rRNA from 1 species
UACGAAGGGUGCAAGCGUUACUCGGAAUUACUGGGCGUAAAGCGUGCGUAGGUGGUUCGUUAAGUCUGAUGUGAAAGCCCCGGGCUCAACCUGGGAACUGCAUUGGAAACUAACGGGCUCGAGUGUGGCAGAGGGGGGUGGAAUUCCACGUGUAGCAGUGAAAUGCGUAGAGAUGUGGAGGAACACCGAUGGCGAAGGCAGCCCCCUGGGCUAACACUGACGCUCAGGCACGAAAGCGUGGGGAGCAAACAGG